UUCCUGGUGGCUCAGUCAAUAAAGCACCUACCUGCAAUGCAGGUGACCCAGGUUCAAUCCCUGGGUUGGGAA
rfam:Ovis aries breed Texel chromosome 8, whole genome shotgun sequence.